GGGAUCAUUACUGAGUGAGGGCGUCAACGCCCGACCUCCAACCCUUUGUGAACCAACCUCUGUUGCCUCGGGGGCGACCCGGCCCUUCGGGUGUCGGGGCCCUCGGUGGACCACAUAUCAACUCUGCGUCUUUGCGUCCGAGUCUUAUGAUAAAUCAAUCAAAACUUUUAACAACGGAUCUCUUGGUUCUGGCAUCGAUGAAGAACGCAGCGAAAUGCGAUAAGUAAUGUGAAUUGCAGAAUUCAGUGAAUCAUCGAAUCUUUGAACGCACAUUGCGCCCUUUGGUAUUCCGAGGGGCAUGCCUGUUCGAGCGUCAUUAAACAAACUCAAGCCGAUUUAUUAGCUUGGUCUUGGGCGUCGGGGGUCACCCGCGCCUUAAUGUCGCCGGCUGGACGAUCUGGAUCUCAGCGUUGUGGCAACAAAUUCGCUGGCGAGAAGGAGCGUCUGUGCCGUUAAACCUCCCAUCAAAGGUUGACC
rnacentral:rRNA from 1 species